rnacentral:lncRNA from 1 species
GAGGACCUUGUGCAAUGUGGAUGCAACUUCCUUCAUCUUAUGUAACAAAUCUCGAUCGACGAUUGCAGUUAUACAGGGAGAGGAUAUUAAUAACAAUGAACUCUGUCACUAACUCUUGGAAACCAUCUUGGAUUUUGAGGGUUACAGUUCUCAAUGGCCAAUGGGACUAAGUGUUGAACCCGACUAACAAAGCUCGGGCCGGCUUUAGAGCAACCUCAAACAGUUUUAAUUAUUUAAAAAGUUCAUAAUACAUCACUUCAACUAAAAUGCUGGAGUUCACCAAGAUUCGUUUGACAUCGUAGCCAUGGAUCUGCAAUUGGAUGACCAAAGGAUCGUUGUGGGGGUACUGAACCCGCUCAAAAUCUGCUUUGGUAAAAGUGAUGCUUCUUGGCUCGGACAUGCCUUAUCUUGGCUUCCUCAUCGCUGGCUGGACUGAGCGAACAUUUUGACCCGAGACAUGAGAUUCUAGAGGUCAACUAGAGAGUUGAGCGUCAGGUCCUCCCAAGCUUCUCGCUGAGGUCAGCCCAAGCUUGUAGCUGACCAUGGCUAGCUUUUCUGAACACCCUCCUAUCUCUUUGUACAGCUCCUAAUAACAUUUUCUAUAGUUGUGAAGCAUUUCAUUCUUGCCUUUUCUAAGUGUCAGUAGAGAGUUGACCACCUUUGGUGCCUUUGUGUUGAUAACAAACCAAGCUAAGUAUGACUCGGUAAGUUGGUAAAAGCUCCCAAUGGAUCUAUCGGGAAGCUUAUCAAACCAUUUCAACCCGAGAUCCCCCAAGCUUGAUGAAAAUAUCCCGCACAUGAGUGCAUCGAGAUGAUUUCAAAGUGCCAUCAUUUGUUUGAAAUGGAUGAUGUGAGACCUAGAGUUUGAAUUCUCGUCGUAUAGAGUGAACUUCAGAGGAUUGAACUUCUUAGGAGGGUUCAUUCUCUCAAUCUAGGGCGUUAAUGGGGUUUGGUACCUCGGGAUUUGUUCUCUUGGCACGGACCUGACAAUCUCAAGUGUUAUUGCCUUGGUGAGCAGCUUCGCCCCGUAAAUCCUCAUACUGGCUACGUUUAGCAUUGAGGGUCUCAUGUAGGUCCACACCGGAGUGGGUUCGACUUAGUGAUACCCCACGCUUACCCGAUGCACAGUUGUGUUAUUACUUCAGCUCUAGGCCUUAAUGUUGGAUUUCACAUGUUUUUCCUUCUUGCUACCCCGAGGUGGGUCCUCUCAGCUCUUGACCUCACCUUAGGCGACCCAUCACCAGCCCUUGUGGCCGGUUUUAUCAGUCUGUUGGCCACCAUAAUUUGUGUCAGCUCUUCUAACUGAGUUUCUAAAUGCUUGAUGGUGACGUCCAAACUGUUUUCACCUUGUGGCCGGUUUUAUAGUACACACAAUGUCUAUUAUAAAAAUUUUACGAUCGAUUGUGAUAAAUAUUAUGGUUAAUUAUUGUGUAUAUUAUGAUCAUUAUGGUGAAUAUAUCGAGGGAUGUAUGUCACAAAUAGUGAAAAAUUGUGUGUUAUACAUUAUUGUAGUAAAUGUUACGACUAUUUGUGGUAAAAAAAAUUCUAUUACAAUUGGUUGUGGUCAAUGUUAUACCUAUUUGUGGUAAUGUUAUACCAAGUGCACUAUAUACAUUAUUUUUUGAGGCGUGUACGUUAACCGCUCCUGUAACCAAAUCACUUCACUUUGUGAACCCGUAAGGACCCGUUUGGCUGGAGGAUAGCCGAGGGGAUAACUUUUUUCCCUGGAUAACUCCCUUUAGCGUUUGGAUGGUUUAAAACGUUCCGGAUAACUUUUUCCAUAGCGGGCGGAUAGAAGCGAAUAAUUUUUGGAUGACCCUCACCCUAACCAAAAGCUAUCCGAGAGGAUAGAGACGGAUAUCUAUGUAUCUAUAUCUAUCUAUAUCUAUAUGUAUAUAUAUAUUUUUCAUAUCUAGAUAUUUUACAUUUUUCUUCCUUAUCCCCCACCCUUAUCCCAUUCUAAAAAGUAUCCAAACAAACUUAAAAGUUAUCCUCCUUCAAAAGUUAUUCCCCUUUAAAACUUAUCCGGCAGCCAAAUGACCCUAACACUUUUACAAUUUAUAUUUCGUGUUAUAUUUGAAAUGCUUACGUAUAUGGUUUGCUACUGUUGUGACUUCAAAGGAUCCUUCUCGUCAUUUUUUUAGGUUAAUUGCAUUCACCUACACCCCCUGAGGUUGGUGUAUUGUACCUUAGACCCGGCACCUUUCAAAAUGGCAGAUAGACCCCCUGCGUUAGUGACAUCAUCAUUUCCGUUAGUUGACUAGGUUGACCGAAGGAAAUGUCAUAAAUCCCUGAAAUUCUCUCUCGUCCUCUCUCUCUCUCGGUUUUUAUUUUAUUUUUUUCUGUUUUGGUAUUUUUUAAGUUUUGUUUCUUUUUUUUAAUUAGUUUUUUAAAUAAUUUUUGUUUUAUCAAAUAUCUUUUACAAUUGUUUUAAUUUUGUCUAAUUUAGCAAAAAUUAGGUUAAAAUUAACUAAAAAAAAUUGAUGUGGGUUCGGGUCAAUGUUUUUUUUUUUUUCUUUUCAAGUUUAGAGUAAUGGGUAAGGAAGUGAUUUGGGGUUUGAAAAUGGGUAUGAGGCCCCCCCCCCCUAAAAGUCCCCCCCACCCCCCCCCCCCCCCCCCCCCCCCCCCCCUGACAGCAAUGGUUUUUGGCAAAAAAAAGUUAUAUUUUUGGCUUGUUCAUUAAUUAUAAUUUUUUUAAGUGGCCCACUGAUUUGUAACUCGGUUAGUUGAGUUUCAAUUAGCCUACAUGUUUAAGCUCAAGCAAAAACUUCACUUUAUAUCCCAAUAAUCAUAAAAUUAGUAAUUUUUUAUCUAACAUAUUAGAAAUUAUAAUUUUAGUUAGUCAAACAAGCCUUAAAAUGUGAAAUAAAAUAAAAUUUUUAUUAUUAUGUAAUACUUAUCCAUGUAGCUUUUAAAUUAUUAUUCAAAAAAUAGAGUUUUUUUUAUAAAAAAUAACAAGAUAGUCCCUUUAAUUUAGUGUAGGUGCUAUAGAUUAGUGUAACACUGCUUGAACCUGAUCACAACAUUAAUUACCACCUACACUAAAAGUAAAAUGCUAUCCUAUUUUCUAUUUCUUUGUAUUUUAGUUUUAUUUGUUUAUCAGCAACAAAUACUGUUUUUCAAUAUUUAUUUAACGCAAGAGUGCCACUUGGGAAAUUCGUAUGCCUUCAAAAUACAAAAUUUUUAUAAAAAAUAUCAAACCUGUAAUAAAAAAAAUAAUUAAAAAAACUAAAAAAAGCCAAAACUGGAAAAAAAAAAAAAAUAAAAACGAGAGAGAGAGAGAUACUUUUCAAGGGUAUUUUAUGACAUUCUCUUCAGUCAAAAUGGUGUCCAACUACAAAAAUGCUGAUGUCACUAAACGCAGAGGUCUAUUGCCGUACAUAAAUACUACCCAAAACAAAUCUCAGGGGUUCUACCUGCCUAUUUUUGAAGGUAUCGGGUCUAAGUGUCCAUUACACCAAACCUCAGGGGGUGUAGGUGAAGUUUUCCCUUUUUAUUGGUGAUAUGACUUUGUGUGUUUGAAAAAACAUAAUAUUCUUUACCGCGUAAAACACUUGACAUCCGUUUGCGUGGGACAUUCCGUGUGCCUUUGACAUAGGGAAGUAUUGAACUUGUGUUUUUUGAAAAAACAUAAUCUUCUUACACCACCAAGCGUAAAACACUUUGACAUUGUUUGCGGUGGGACAUUCGGUGUGCCUUUGACAUUUCAAAGGGUACUAUGGAUUGGAAAUGAUGUUAACCGAGGGGCCAAAGUGUCAAUUUUCCAAACAUUUAUCAUUCUUUCAACCAAAGUGGCAUUGUUUAUCCAAGCUGCAGCUUUCACUUUUUCCAAACGCGAUAAUGGCGUGUAGUACAUAUUUGCGAACAAUUUUGGAGAAAGUGAAAAACAAAUCUGGAUUUUGAUCUCAGUAACAAAUUAAACUCUAUAGUUUUAAUUAUAACAAAUUAAACCUUACAAUUUUAAUCUAGUUGACAAUUAAAAAUCUCUAUUAGUUUCUAUUUCAGUAAAGUUUACGGAAUCAAUUAAUUCAUACCAAAUAAAUUGAGGAAAUGAUGUUUUCCAAUGUUAUCUCCAUGCAAUUAGGGCUCAUUUUUAAACAAAACUUCGAAAAAGUAGUUUGAAUCUUUAAUUUUAAAAAAAUUAUAAUUUUAUUGAUUUUAAGUUGAAUAUGUAAGCCUUAAUUGCAUCGAUUAAGACUUUUAAAGACUGAUAAUUUGAAGGAUGUUAUUUUUUUAAAUUUUUUUUAAAAUUAGUUGGUUAUAUCAUCUCAAAUGAAACAAAGAUUAUCAAUGAUUUUAAUUGUGAUCAAAUUCAAAAUUUUUAGAUUUUUAAAUUGUUUACAAUUAAAAUUAUAAUGAUUUUAAUCCUUUCCGCAGUCAACCCCAAGCUUCUUUCUGUAAUUUUUUCCAACAAUUGAAUGCGUGUGGAGCCUGUGGAGUACCUACCUAUAAUCAAGCUCUACGAAGAAAUUUCUUUCUCAAAUCAUUCAUCCCUGGUCAGUGUUCACCUUUCACGCGUCCUUACCUAAUAAUCUAUAGAUUUAACUAAAAACACUGAUCCAUGAAGAAAAGAGAAAAAUACGAAACGAUCCGAAGAUACAACGAGGGAAAACCCUUUAGCAAAUUUAAUUUCUAGCCGCAUGUAUAUCAAUACUUCAGAGAAAUUCUUUUUCUUACAACCGUGCGGAAUGGUUCAUUCAAAUGACCCUUAAUUAAAUAUUAGCCACGAUUAAAAUUGUUUGUACACACUUUGAGUACGUCAGUGGGGGGGUUUAUUCGGAGAAUCUCAUAUAUUGCAAGAUAGGGCCUCGAAUAUCUCGAAAAAUGUAAACAAAAUCCGGGAGAAAUUUCACUGCUUGGAAAAUUUGAAAAUGGGAAAAAAUUGCUAAAUUUUCUACAAUUGGUUUAUUCUCGACUUGUUCAUGUCCCAAUCUACCUUCUACAAUGGUUUAAGUCUUAGUGAUUUUAUCGGGGUAAUCAAUAUGAGUGGAAGAAGGGACUCAUUUCGAUAUCCAAAAGGUGGGAAUAUCAACUACAUGGAAUUUUAACAUGAAAGAAAUGCAACACUUUGGCCUUGUUCCUCUUUCUUUCAUAUUCACACAAUUCGAUUAAAAAGCUUAUUUGCGCAUUGCUGCAACCAAAGCACAUUGCUCACUAUCAUUUCUCUUCCCUCCAUUCUAUAGAAAAAUGUGAACAGUGAUUGAAUACAUUUGUCCUCAAAUUACUUUUUUCUCACAAAUAUAUACGUACGAAAUGAGUUGAGGAAACAUUUCUCAACAAAGGUCGUCAAAAAAAGUUCUUUUGUGACAAAAUAUUUAUUUCCGUCACCUAUGUAAUUGUUUUUUGACGAAUUUUAUUUUGUCCACCGAUAAUGAAUGAUUUAUUGAAAAAAUAUUUCAUUUGACCUAUUUUAUUGUCACACAAUUAUUCGUUUUUGUUACAAAUAAUUCUGAAAGUUAUAUAAUAUCACAACAUAUGUGAAAAAAAAUUUCGCCACCUAUUGUAACUAUUUUUAAUGACAAACUUUAUUUCAGUCACCAUAGUGAUUGUUUCAUAUGAAAUAUUCGUCACUAUUUUAUUAUUUUUUUAUGCCAUCAAGUUAUCCUUUCAUCACAAAUAGUUGCUAAAAAUAAUCAUGUAAACAAUAUUAGGUGAGAACACAACUUUCGUCACCCUAAAAUUUUAAAUUUUAAAUUUGUAAAAAGUAGUGAAGUUGAGAAUUUUUUUGUCCACCUAUAAUUUUAAAUUAAUCCAAUCGGUGACGAAGAAGAUUGCCACAAAAAAUUUUUUAGAAAAAUAUUUUUGAUGAUGGAAAAUUUUGUCACCUAAAUAUAUUAUGAGAAGUAUACAAUUGGCCAACAAAAUCUUUUCCUAAUACUGCCAUUGAAAAUAAAUGCCAUUCAUUUUAAGAAUCUGCAAUCGCAAUUAAAAAUAUCACAACUGAAUUUUGAUCAUAAUAUUACACAGUUAUAAAUCCAAUAUAACUCGUAUACCACAUUACCAAACAAGCAAACAAAUCACUAAUAUUUCCACCAUAUCAUCUUUCUUAUCCUAUGCAUCAUCACAAAGAAAGAGUAGUUGUAGCAUUACUGAAAUAAAAAAGAACGAAGAUUUGAAGCUUGAUCCAAAAAGAAAUAAGUAUCCAAAAAAGAAGUUUUCGUAGAAUAACAUUCAUGUCAUCAUCCAACUCCCAACCUUCUGCAUAUACAAUCUGCAAACAUAAAAAAUUCAAAGUCACUCCCUCAACAAAUAUUGGCUAAAUAAUAGGUAGUCUUCUACACUUUUAUACAAAAAAUCAUGAUAUUUUAUAUAUGUAAAUAUGAACAGUAUAAAGUGCUAAUCAGCAAGUCUUUAACUGGUGUAAAUAUGAAAAGCAUAAACUGCUCAACGUUUCAUAUAUUGCAGAAUUUGAGGUAGGACUAUCUAUAGGUACAAUAAUUGACACUUUGAUUUUGUUGCCAUUCUGUCUCAGGCAAGCAAUUUAACACGUUAAAGAUCAGUAUCUGCCCUGUUCAAUAUUCCAAACUUACUCAGAAUAAACUUGGAGUUAAGUUAGAGUAUUUAGGAAAUCACCCCUAUCGUGAAACAAUUCAACUGCAGGGUUUGUUUAGUGAGAAAGUGAAUCUAUUGUGAGUAUGACCAUACAUGGUUUUAUUGGGUGCAUCAUACCCAUUUUUGCUUUGUGUCCACUUCAAUAGAUCCUACAUAUAGGUUUGAAAAUUCUAGAAUAAUGUUUCAAAUCGUAGAAAUGUUAAACAGUUUCGUAUUCCUGUCUUGCAAGUGAUCCGUUAGGUCCAAGGGUUCACCGUUUCUGCCUUUUUCCUUUUCCUCAUUAUGGAUUUGCAGGGAGGGACAGAAAAAAUGUCUGCUAGUGAUCCAAAUUCUGCAAUUUAUGUGACUGAUUCUGGACAGGAAAAGCAGUGUAUUCUUACCUGUUUCAUUAGCAAAACUAUAUGUUUCCGAUUUAAAAAAAAAAAAAAAAAAGCCAUGCAACAAGGAAGCCUGCUACUGGCAAAUCAAAAAUAAAAGAUGCUGGAGAUUGGAAAAUUGCUUAUAAUUUUUCUAGUAAAGGCCUCACCUGUUUUAACAGAAAACUGCUGAUAUCAUCUUCAUCUAAUCAUGUCCAUCAUAUGUCUAAUAUAUUUCAUCUAAUUAUCUCCCAGAAUGCAUUGAAUUAUCUGUGAAGCCGGAGACUUACAAGGUCAACUGGGGUUCCUAGUUUCUUUCCAUAUCAACUGAUAUUUCAAUAGUCACCCUAUCAAGAUAUUAUCUUUGAAAAAAAUAGUUUAGUGGUAAGAUUAGAACUUUAUAUCAAUUUAGCGGUCUGACAUAUAAUAAUAUCGCUGGAGGUUGUGAUUCAGGAAAAUCAUGGGGAGAGGCAUCGAAGAGGGAGGAAAGAGAGUCUUUUUUCUUUCUUUCUUUUUCUCACUUUUCCGAAUUUCCCCACACCUUUAGCACAUUUACCAGAUUUACGUAUACUUAUUAUUCUCUUAACUGUUAUUUUUCAUUUUGCACACGAGUGUGUUUAACCUGUUUUCGCAGUCCAUAGAGCAUAAAGGAGGGGUCGAAUGAGGCAAGGAAUUGAAGCGGGAGUGAUUGGCAGUUGGUUUGCGCUAAAGUUUAUGGAAUUUUUCCAAGUCUACUAGUUGGAACAUUUUCGGUCUAUCUACCGAUAGAAUGGAUAGGCAUAAGCAAUUAUCGACAAUGAUGAACCAGUCGAAGACCAACCCUCCAAUCGGUAGAAUAGGAGCAAAAGCAUCAGAUGGAUUGUACAACGCGAUUGAACCUUUAGUUUUCUACGCAUUGAAUGCAUCAUAACUUCAAAUCUAAAAUUCUCAACCGUUGAAGACUAAUCAUCACCUUUUGAACUGGAAAACAAAGGAGGAACAUUAGAACCCUUUUGAACCGGUUGAACUUUCUUCUUAACCGAUCGAGAUUGAAGAAAGCAAAGGAUGAAGAUAGGAGGUUGAAGAAGGCUGCGAACCCUCAAAGUCAACAUAGAAGACUGCUUUUCAAGGGUAUUUUGGUUAUUUCACUCCCUCAUCUUCCAAGUAUGGAGGGAAUCCCAUUAUAUGAAAGGCUUAAAACCCAAGUUUAAGAAUUUUUUUGGGAGAAUUCUUAGUCUUGAGAAUUAUUUCUCUUUCUACUACUUUACUUUUUCAAUUGCUUAAUUCAAAAAUAUAUUUUAUAGUCAUAGCUUGAAGAGAGUUGGAAAGGAAGAAGAAGAUCACUUGUUUUUGAGUUAAAACUUGUAAUUCUUGUUCUAAUUUUACUACAAUUCAAAUGGUUAUAAGUUUACUUAGAUUUUGAUUAUUCUAUUGAACUAUCAUUCAUCUUUCAUUCUUGAUGUUAAUUACUUUAUUUUAAUGGUUAGUGAUUCAUGUGUGUUUGAGUUUUUCUCACCCAUAUCUUGGUCCAAGAAAUAUGUUUUCUUCCAAACCUUAACAUGAAUUGAUUUCUUCUCUCCUUUUAAAUGGUUUCAAUGCUUAUUUUAAGUUGAUUAAUGGUGUUCUUAAGAUUAAAAUUUAGAGUUGUAUACAUUUUUAAUUAUUUGUCAAUAAGUACACUUGGUAUACGUAAUACUUGAAUAUGUACUCUAGGUGUUUGAACAUUGUACAAAGUCAUUAUCAAUCCCAUAAACACAUAUUUAGAUAUUAUCGUGCCUUGAGAUUUGGUUGAAUACAUAAAGAAAAAAAAGUUAAAACAUCUAAGUUAGAAGAAGGACUAGAUACUUGGAUCAUGUCAUUAUACAUUUAUAGUUUAUAUUUCAUCACAUAGUUUCACAAAAAUAUCAAAAUAGUCAUUUUUAUAAUUUCUUAACUUACAACAAAAACUUAAUCUUGCAUUUCUAACUUCAUGUAGAUAUGACCUUGAGAUUUCUAAAUAUUAUACUGUAUUAAUAUGUUACUACGAUUGGGAGUUGCCUCCAAUAGUUAAAUAGAAUGAUUUUAACUCUUUCUACCGAAACGCCACUUGCGAAAUAAAAAAGUGACUAGUUUUUCAUUUCACAACUGCGUUGUUUUGGUGGAAGAAAGGGUAAAAUUGUCUAAUUAACCAUGUAAUAGAUAUUAUUUAGAAGUCACCGCCUUCAGCGAUAUUAUUAUGCGUUAAACAACUGGAUUGAUAUAAAAAUCUUAUUUUACCGCCAAAUUAAAAUUUCCCCUAUAAUCGUGGUCUAGACUCUCUAUCAAUAAAUUCCCCCGCGGUCUUCUUGUUGACUUGACGAAAGCAAGUGCCCUUUAAUUAUGUUCCCCGCUGUUUUCGUUUUGACUUGACUCAAAAUGCAACUGCUAUUAUGUAAUUUAUUUGUUUGUAUUCUCUUUGUAUCAAAACCACUCAUCAGUAAACAGCUGAUUCCAUCUCUCUCCAAUACCAAAAAUCUCACUUCCCUCACUGCUUCAUCUCUGGUUCUCUCGCCUCUGUUUCUUCAUGGCUACUCUAAUCGAAGCCCAACAGGCCUCCAGCUCCAGCUCCGAAUUCAAAUUCAACUCGACAUUCCUGAGCUUUUUCGAGGCUUAGCAAGACCUAAAAAAAUUCACCGAUCACUCUAAAACCGACGCCUGAAUCGUGCCGGAAAUUCCGACCCUCCGAGACGAUCGACGAGAUCAGGAGUCAAGAACAUCAAUUCCCGAGUUAACAGAGAGCGAUCAAGUACUUCCAAGGAUGUCGGUUAUCGUUGUCUCGGAAGAUACGCAUCUUCAAAUGCUGCCUCUUCGAGGCCAGACGAUUUCUGGAGCAUUGUAGAGUCGGAUCACUUUAUUUUGCCGGUGUUUUACGAUGUGGAAUCCUGGGAGAGUGAGUAUCAGGCGAGAUAUCUGGAGAAGAAGGAUUCGUCCGGAGAAGACGAUAGGACGGAGUGCGGCGCUCAACGAGGUUGGCGAGUAUGGCUGGGAUGGUUUGCAAAAUCAAGCGGAUGGGUAAUUUCCUCCAAAUCCUAAUUUUUAUUUUUUGCAACUCUUCUCUUAUCCAAGAAUUGAUGUUUGGUUCAACAGUUUGGAAUUGAUUUUGCGUUUUUUUAUAGCGAAAAUUACAUUACAAAAACUUUCUAGGUUUGACGGGGAAGAAAUUAAACAUUAUAAUUUUAAUUUAGUAACAAUUUAAAUUUUUCGUUAGUUUCCAUCCAGCUAAGAAACGAAACUAACUAGUCUGUCCACAAUGUCAUAACCACUUGUAUAGGUUUUAUUUUUAAGUAACACCUAUUGACCAUUCUCAUAUCAAAAUGACAUAGAAUUACCAUAAAAAUUUGAUCUGUUUAAUACAAAUAAAACACCUAAACUCUUUAAUUUGUAUUGUUAAUUGGUUAGAUUAGGACUUUGAAAAGAGAUAAUUUUAUACGAAGUCGUUUCCAUGCAUUUUGAAUGGAAAUCAAUCGAUUCUGUUUGCCUUAAAUGGAGAUUAACGAAUGGUUUAAAUUAUUACUGAAUUAAAACUUCGUAGUUUAAUUUGUUUACAAUUAAAAUUGUAGAGUUUAAUUUGUUCCACGAUCAAAUUUUUUUUUUUCUUUUUUCUUUUUUAUAUUAUUGAUAUUUUAUCAUAAUUGAUUAUUAAUAAUUUGAAUAGUCUUUUUAAUAUUUUUUAAAAAAUUCCUACAAAACAAAUUUCAAAACCUAUAAAACCAAACAAAUUUUCUGCAUAAAAAUUUGCAAAACUGAUUUAAAAACUAAACCAAACUGAUUUUGUUGAAAAGUUAUAAAAUUACCCUUCUAUUUUACCAUUAGUAUAUACUUUUCAACACAAUACAAAGAUUUCUUUGUAAUUUUAUAAAAAUAAAGACAAGAAAAAAUAUUUUUGGAGAAAAUGGAAGUAUGAAAAUCACCCCUUAUUUUAUUGCUAUUAGUGCAUUCAUAUUGUUUGAAUUUGGGUUUUCUCCAUAUAUAGGAACAAGUUAGACCAUCUCCCAUUUUUACACUUUUUUUAGUCGAAUUAGAGAGAAAAUUUGAUAAAAAGCUUGAUCUGAUACUAAGAACUACAAUCUUUACUCUUUUAUUUCAUAGAAUCUUCUACCAAAAUUUCCAACUAUUCCAAAAACGAGACUUGAUGGGUAAAAAAACCCUCUAAUCCUCAACCCUUUCAAAGGUUUUCAUCUUAUGAGUAAAGUAGAGUUGGCCGAAGGUUUGUUGAUCUUGAUUUGAUGAAAAUUUUUGUUUUCCUCUUCAUUUGAUUUUAAAUUUGGUGAAACCGUGAAAGUCUAAGAGCUUGUUUUUGUACCCCUUUUCAUCAAAUUUUGAAUUAUGACGAUGAUUUGAUUGAAGGGUUGGAGAUGCUCUCAGUUUCAAUCAAGGGGUGGACAAUUACUUUAUAUCCCUUGGCGAUCGUAUGGCUUAUACUGAGUAAUUACCUAUAUAUAAUUACUAAUAAUUGUUUAUGCUCGCGGGUAUGAUACUUUUGUGGACAAUCUUAUAUGCCAAAUUCAAAUAAAAACAAACUUAAAAUUAAAUUAAUCAAAAAAAAUUACAAUAAAUUAACACAAUUACAGACUCUUCUCGAAGAAAACAAUUCAAAUUGUGACUGAGCACUGUAUUCAAUACAGUGCCUUAAGACAGAUUAAUCCUCUGCACGGGUGUGCAACGGAUAUAUAGACUCUGUCUCCCAGGAUACAACAGUCGAAAUCUUACUAAUGCAGCAUAAUAAUCAGUAGCCUGGCGAACCAACAACAGUGAUGUACUCUCUUGAUGGUAUGCAAAAAAAUAAAGAAAGGAAGAGCGGGGAAUAGAUGAAAUUGCUUAGAUUUACGUAUACCAAACUGGCUAGGAGGGAUGUGUAUAUAACCUACCGCCUGGAAAAUUCGUGACUUUAAGAAAGAGGAAAUUUUUCAAAGGAGGCAAUUUUUUGGGGAUCUGUUCGUUAAAAUUCAAACGUACAGGGACUUAACAAAAAGACGCAAUAGUUCGGGAUUAAACCGAAAGGACACAACUAUUUGGGACUAAAUCCGAAAAGACGCAACUAUUUGGGAUUAAAUCCGAAAGGACGCAACCAUUCGGGGACCAAAAUAUAAAUACUGAAAAUUAUUAUUUAAUAAAUAAAUUUUUCAGUAAAAAUUUAUAUUAGUCCGACCCAAACCCACACCCCGCACCCGCACCAAGCCUAAGGCCACGGCCUAGUCCGGGCGGGCGGCGCGCGUGGUUGUUUUGGCCAAGUCAUAGAGUUCAGAGUCGAGCCCAAGCCUAUCUAUAACUACCUUACCUUCAAAACUUGGGUACCCCUGGGCCCAACCAAGGAGUGAAAUUACUCCUUAUAAACCAAUUUACUUUCUCUCUAUUAACCAAUUAGGACUAUUUUGGAGUCACCCAAUUUUCAAUUCAUUUGUAAGUAGUUUGAAUAACCUAAUUACACAUUCUUAAUCCUCAAAUGUUAGGUAUCUAAAACCACUUAAAACCAUCUAAAAAGUAUAUGGGUCUGCUUUAAUUCAGACAAAGUUGGGCAAAAUUAUUGAGUUAAAACAAUUUUUUCCUACAAUCCCCCACAUGAAUGAAAAUGGACGGAAUAUGCCAAAACAUGUUGGAAACAAAAAAGAGUACAUAUAGAAAAUACAUGCACAGAGAAAGGUAGGUUUGGCUUGGCAUCUUUCUCUGGUGAAAAGUCUAUCGGAUUUAUGGCUAAUCGUGGAUAUGAUGUCUGAAACUGUUCAACUGUUUAUGUAAACCAACAAUAAAUUUCACACAAAAAUAUUUCAAACACCGCUUGGUUCUCAUGGUGUGUUCCUUUUAGCUCUGAACAACGCCUGAGUUUCAUGAGUGCCUCUAGGAAGUUAGCCGGAUUAAUUUCAAAAGAACCGGCCCCAGUUCACAUCAUAUAGAUGAUUUUAUUAAGAGCAUCCUGCUAUACCCCAAUUGAAAAUCAAGGAUAAGAAAUCAUUAAAGCCAAAGUUUAACCUGGGUCUCGCUACAACCAUCACUACUCAUCAGAAGAAUAGGUAGGAGAUAAUCUCCCAGUGAUUCCGACUAAGUCCCCCAACAAUUCGAUUGUCCCUUUGAACCUCAAAAUCUUGGGAUCCCAAAGUCAAUUAGGUUGGGUUGCCAUUGGGGAAACUUGGAACUUUUAAAAAAUAGGCUUUAGUCCCAUUCCCUCAAUGAAUGAUGCAUUACUCAUAGUCAAAACUUUUAGUUAACGGCAUCCGCUAAUAUGAUCCUUUGAUUGAUAUUAAUCAGAUGGAUAUUAUUUCACUUGAGGAGCAAAAUUUAACAGUAUUAUAUCUUCGACGGAUAUGUCGAGAUUAACGUUAUACAUAUUAUUCAGUGCUCGAGAGCUAUGGCUGAUUGGGACUAUCACAAUGUAUGAAAAUAGCCGGCACAGGUUUAGGCCACAUUGGAAUAUAUUCUAAGUUUUGUCGAGCCAUUCUGCUCUCCGUUUUAUCCAUGCUAUGAAUUCAGAUUCCAUAGUAGACCUAGCUAUACAAGUUGACCGUGGACGAUUCAAGAAAACUGCUGCUCACCUAAGUGAACAACAUAACCACUAGUAAAUUGGAAUCCUUGUAUCCGGAAAUUCAGUUUGCAUCACUAUAUUCUUUAAGUACUGCAGGGAUAUUUAGUGUAGUUGGCAAAACUAUAAGUUGUGAUAGCUAAAAAUAUAUAAGAACCCUAAACUAUGGCCCUUACAAUGAAUAUUCGUAGAUUUGCUUGUGACCUACUCAACUUACUCACAGCAUAUGCAAUAUCUGGUCGAGUACAGUUCAUGAAGUACAGUAAGCUAAUUAAUAUUCGAGCAUAAUCAUUGAGACAUACUUCAACAACAUUCUUGGCCUAAAUGGAAAAUUCAUAUCCCAAAGAGUUUUUGAAUAUGUUCAUCAUCUUUACCUCUAAAUUUUUCAAGAAUUUUCUCAAUUAUAAUGGGGCUUGAGAAAGUUAUAUCCUUCAAAGUUUUAGUAAACUUUAUACAAAGUAUAACAUCAGUUAACACUAAUAUCUUUCAUGGGUCAAACUGUUUGUUAACAUUUUCUUAGUAGCUUUAAUCAUCUAGAUAUCACUACAAUGAUAGCAUGUAUCAACAUAAAGACAACGAUGGACAUAUUCUUUAUUUGUAUUCUGAACAUAAACAACAUUUUAGGGAUGCAACUUUUGCCCAACACCCCCACACUCUUAAGCAUUGUAGGAAUGUUUUAUACCUUUUAACAUUUCAUAAGGGUUUUAUCAAUUUUCUUACGGGUAUUCUAUUAAGAAUAUAAUUAGCAUGAUAAAAAUAGCUUCCCCCCACAAUUCUGAGAUAACACCCAGAACUAAUAAAUAGCAUUUCAUCAUAUCCUUUAAGUUCUAUUCUUCCGACACUAAGCAACUCCAUGACUGGGGAGCAAUAGGUGCAUUGUUUGUGUAUAAUACCAUGUUGCGCACAAAACUCAUAAAUGUGUCUCAUAUUCACACCUCUAUCACUUCGUAGCACCUUAACUUUCUUGCUAAGUUGAUUUUCGACGUCUUGUAAAUGUAUGAAAGCAUCCAAAAUUCAUCUUUCUUCUCAACAUACACAACAAAAUCUAGAAUAUCAUAAAUAAAUGUAUAAUGUACUUUUUUCCCCUCUAGAUUGUAUAGAUUUUUAAAAUACAAAAAUCACUAGAAACUAAUUCAAGAGGUCAGUACUCCUUUCAAUAGUUGAAAAUGAUUUUCUAGUCAUUUUUGCUCUACACAAAUUUCCCAUUUAUGAUUCAAGUUUAUAUAAACUUAGGUAGACAUUCCAAUUAUUAAGUCUUCGCAAAAGAAUGCUAAUUAUAUGUCCUAAUCUAACAGCCCAUAAAUGAGGGAAGACUCAAGCAAGUAGAAAAAUAACAUCCUUAUUUCAUUCAAUUUGGAACAAUAUGUCAUUAAUUCAAUUUAAAAAGCCAAUCACUCAUGUAUCCCUUUCAUACAUACCAUUGCCCACUCUUGUAAGUACAAAAUUUGUCAGAUUUCAACCCUAGCGAAAGCCAUUUUUGCUCAACAAUGAGCCAGAAACUAGUUCUUCGGAUGUCUGAAAACAUGCAUCCACUUGUUGAGAGGAGUUCCUUUCCAGAUGUCAUUUUUAGAAUCACUUUGCUUGGCCUACCACGUUAGAAGUUGACAGAGUUCCCAGUAAAGUUGUUCACCAUCAUUCACCUUUGCGUAAGAUGAAAACAUCUUCUUUAUCGAAGCAUAUUGUGGCGAGUAGCUCCAAUCCACCAAACAUUCUUAAAAUUUUGUAUACCAAAUUUGCUAUGACACAAAACGCCAGAGAUUCAUGCUGGGGAUGCAAGCACACAGAUUCUAACAUCUGUUUCAGUACUGUGCAUGGGCACACAUUUUGCUCGAACUUCCAUAAUCCUUGGGCUUUGCUACGACAUUCAUUGGCUCUAUGUCCGAUCUUGUCACAUUUGUAGCCCUUUCUCUUGAAACUUUCUUGUUGAACCUUGAGAUGUACCGUUACAAGAAGCUUUAGUUCUUGUUCUUAGGCCCUUGUUCCACAACAUGGCCUUCGACUCCAUUGAAAUCUUUCUGUCUUUUCUCAGAAUUUGGUUGUAUUCUUCUAUCCUCAAUCACAAUCAGUUCCUACAAUUUCAUCUCCUUGCGUUUAUGCUUUAAAAUUAUUUUGAAUUCCCUCCAAUUAGGCAGUAAUUCUCAUUAUUGCCAGCAACUUGAAUGAUCACUAAGUGACAUCCUUCACGCAUGUAUAUCAUGUAUCACAACUUGGAGUCUUUAACUGACUGAUCAAGUACGAGAAUCCAACAUCUUCUAACCAAAAAUUGCCAACAAUGAAUUUCUUCAUUCCAGUAUCUUUCUGGUUUUAUACUUUUUAUCAAGAGAUUCCCAUAUUCGUUCGCUAUCUUGAUUAGGCUAUAUACAUUGUAACGUAUGUCCAAUCCAUGAGGAAUAAUUGCGGCACAAAAAAAUCUGAAUGCUUCCAGUAUCAACAGCCACAACCAUUUGCACAUCCGACUCAUCUUCUUUAUAGCGUUGGAGUUGUUUCAUGGAGGAAAACCUUGCCAAAAUAAGAUAUAAGAUAAAAUAAACAUCUUUUGCUGCUAUCUUUUAAAAUUAGUUCCAUUGAACUUUUCUGGUUUCUCUCCAUGAUUUACCGGAACCGAUACAGGAAUCGGUGGCAUGAUUGUAAUGGGAUUACUUCCAGAACCUCCAUCAUAUCCGGGGUUUCCAUAACCAGUGUCAUCAGAAACACUUGCCAUCGAUUCUGAUAAAACAGAAUUCAACCAAAGAAUUAAAAAAAAAAUCACAGUAGAAGAAAGUAGAAGUGAUAAUCUAUCUGUCUUAAGAUUGUUGGAAAAUCUUCUAUGCAAUUCAAAUAAACAUACUGAAAUUAAAUUAACAGAAAGUUCAAUAAUUAACACCAUUAACAGAACUUCUUCUUCGAAGAACAAGAAUUCAAAUUUGUGCUGAGGCAUAUAUUCAAUACAGGGUCCCUUAAGGAAAGAUAUCCUCCGCACGGGUUGCUAACGGAUGUUAAUAGACUCUGUCUCCCGGAUACAACAGUCUCGACAUCUUACUGAGCAGCACAAACAAUUCGUAAGCCUGGCGACACCAACAACAAUGAUGUACUCUCUUUUACGGUAUGCAAACAUGAAGGAAAGGGAGAGCGGAGGAAUAGAUGAAUUGCUUAGAUUUACGAGUAUACCAACAUGGCCUGAGGGAGAGGAUGUUAUAUAGGAAAAUUCGUGAACUUUUAGAAAGGAGGAAUUUUUCUAAAGAAGGAAUUUUUCCGGGGGAUCUGUUGUUUAAAAUUCAAAUGUACAGGGACAAAAACGAAAAGACGCAAUAGUUCUGGAUUAAACCUAAAGGACGCAACUAUGUCGGAUAAAUCCGAAAAAGACGGCAAAAAUAUUCGAGGGACCAAAAUAUAAUUACUGGAAAUUAUAAUUAAAUAAAUAAUUUUUUCAGUAAAAAUUUAUAUUAGUCCGACCCAACUACAAACCGCACAAGCACACAGCCCCGGCGGGCGGCAGCGCGUGGUGUGGUAUUUUUGGUCCAGUCAAUAAAGUUCAUAGCUGGACCCAAGUCCAUCCAUAACUCUCCUCUUCAAAAACUUGCGGUUACCCCUUGGGGCCCAACCAAGGAGUGAAAUUUACCUCCGUAUAAACCACGUUACUUUCUCUCUCCUUACCAAUGUGAGACUAAAACAAACUUUUUUACAUAAGCCAUAUUAUGUAGACACUUUGGAGUCAAUUUUCAAUUCAUUGUAAGUAGUUUGAACAACUAAUUUACCACAUCCUUAAUCCCCACAUGGAAGUGUAUUAAAGACACUUUAAAACCCAUCUAAAAGUAUAUGAGUCCCACUUUAAUAAGGCCUCCCAAAGUUGGGCAAAAUUAUGGGUUAAAACACAUUUUUUCCUACACUUUCUCCCCAAAAAAUCACUUCUUAGGGAUAAUCAUUAGAGUUUUACAACCUAAAAAAUAGAGAGAUACAUUACUACAAAAUGAAGAACAAAUUAAAAAGUAUAAUGCUUUUGAAAGUGUUGCUAAUUUGGGAGAAAUGAAGGUGAAAGAAAUUGAUGUUUUAAUUUUUUUUUGAUAUGGUUCCCACUAAAAAAAUGAUCCAAUGGAUAAAAAAUAUGUCCACCUUUAGAGGUUUUUUUGCCAUUGAAUAACAAUCUAUAUGGGCCCCACACAUUUGAGAAGAAGGAAGUGAUAUUUUUUUUUUGAGAAAAAAAUAGUCUCAGGUGAAAUCUUAGCUAUUGAAUUAAUUCAAAUGGAUUCCAAACCGUGAUAUAAGUAUAAGAACAAAGUUUUUGAAUCUUUCAAACUAUCUUCCAUAUCUUAUGGUCGGAAUUCAUUGAGUAAUCCCAAGGAUGAGAUUCACUUGAGACUAUGUUUUUUCUUACAAAAAAUAUCACUUUCUUCUGCUCAAAAUAGUGGGGGCCCACAAGAUUGUAAUUCAAUAGCCAAAAAACCAUUAAAACAGGACAUAAUUUACCUAUUGGAUCAUUUUUUUAGUUGGACCACACCAAAAAAAUACUAAAACACCUCUUUUUUUUUCUCUCAUUACCCAAAGACUAUUAACGCUUUUUAAAAAUCAUAUACUUUCUAUUUUUCUCUCUUUUAUAGUAAUGUAUUUCCUUCAUAAUGCAUGCAUUGUAAUAUCUUAAGCUGAGUUAUAUCUAUCGUUUUUUUUUAUGUUGUAAAACUUAAUAGUACAAACCAAAAAAGUAAUUUUUUUUUUUUUGACGUAGUGCCUGGGAGCACGGGAAAUUACUAGUUAUAGAUAUGUUACAAACUAUUUGGCCAGAGCAAGUUAUGGUUUUGAGUUUCAAUGAUCGUAGCAAUGGUAAUACUCUUCCCCUCACUCUCCCUUGGACUACAUAAGGCUUAAAACCUGAUAAUUACAUAUAUUUGUGGGACGGGGAAAUACAUGUAGCCGGGAUAGAUAGAGCAAAAUACUGGGAUAGAAGAUAGGUGUUCUAAGUUGUCAAAAUUGUAAACUACGUUAUAUGCAUCACUAAUAAUUCAUAUGGCCGUUCCUAGUUAAACCAAAUAAGUUAAAAUCACAUGAUUUUGAUGGUUCAGGAUGAAAUGGAAAAAAAUGGAAGUAGUAUAGGAGAUAAAACUGUGUGUAAUUGAGCUUAUACUUUUUUACAAAGUGGUUAAGGACUAAUUUUCUUCUUUCCUAUUCAUAUAUUAACAUAAAGAAAUUGUUAAAGAAAUAUUUUUAAAGAACUUGACUUGAUGAUUUAGAAUGCAGAAGUAUACUUGAAUUCUAAUUAAUCACUUAUCAUCUACAGCAUUCUUUCUUGAGAAUCGUACAUCUUCUUUUUCAUGCCACUAUUGCUAAAUGAGUUUCGAUUACAAAGUUUCUUUUUUUUUUUUUAUGUACUGAAAAUCAUAUUUGUCUUGAAGUAAACGGGAAUUGUGGUGAAGAAGUUCAUUUCGCAUGAUUUCAAAUUGGGGUUAAGAACCAAUGAUUCAAUAGCGUAUUACGUGAACUGUUUUUUCCCUUCUUUUUAUUUUUGUGAAAAUGACACUCUUUUUCAAAGUAAAUUUAUAAAGUGGAUGAUAAGUUUUUUAGGCACUUGGCCCACCUCCCUCUUUAAACCAUGCUACAUCACUACGAAAUCAGAACAAAAACCUGGCCAUGACAACAAACCCCUUGGGAAGCCCUUAAAAUUCCUUGCAUUGCCAUGUAACCACAAUCUUCCAAUGGCAUUUGAAAACUUAUACAACCCCUCAUUCGGAGCAACACCUAGGACCAUACUUGGUCAAAGCAACCAUGGUCCUACUAGCUAGGUUUCAUAACUGGGGUUCCGAGUACUAAGUGGGCGGGUCCGCGGGUCUUGAUGUCAGAUUCUUUGUAAACCUAAAUUUUAGUAUACUUGUAUUUUUGUCUCAAAUUAAUUAUGAGUACAGUACACAUUCUGAAUUAUUCCAGAUAAUAAAUCUUGAAUUAUUUAAAAAUGUACUUGAAAUCAAAUGAGAUUAUAAAAAAAUAUGAAAAAUAUUAAAAGUGUUAACCUCACAUCGCUUAUUUAAGCCACCCAAAAUUAUUAUAUAAGAAGUGAACCUUUAUCUUUUGAUCACCCAUUCAAAUAAUGGGUCAACAAAGAUAAGUGAUAGUUUUUUUCUUCUUUUAUAGAUGGGAAAAGAUAAGUAAAGUUGAGCAAAGAAAGUUGAUCUCAUCCAGCCACCUUACUCGAAGUUGCUUCAAAAGUCAAGGAUACAUAAGUAAAUUACUUGAAUAAUUAGAUUUGCAUAUAUUUUUCACUGCCGGAAUAGAUAAAACAUGUAAGAGGAUAAUUCCCCCUAUGGA